AAGACUAUACUUUCAGGGAUCAUUUCUAUAGUUUGUUACUAGAGAAGUUUCUCUGAAUGUGUAGAGCACCGAAAACCACGAGGAAGAGACGUAGUGUUCUUUCCUGAGCGUGAAGUCCGCAUUUGGUGUUGCUUCACUGCAACCGCCAUUUGCCAUUGAUGAUCGUUCUUCUCUCCAUUUUUGGGGAGUAAGAGGGAAAGAACACGGUCUGAGUGGU
rnacentral:snoRNA from 8 species